rnacentral:snRNA from 1 species
GUGCUCUCUUUGGCAGCACAUUUACUAAAAUUGGAAUGAUACAGAGAAGAUUAGCAUGGCCCCUGCACAAGGAUGGCACGCAAAUUUGUGAUGCAUUCCAUAUUUUU